UUCCAGACUCCUACGGGAGGCAGCAGUGAGGAAUAUUGGUCAAUGGGCGCGAGCCUGAACCAGCCAAGUCGCGUGAGGGAGGACGGCCCUACGGGUUGUAAACCUCUUUUGCCGGGGAGCAACGGGCGUCACGUGUGGCGUCACUGAGAGUACCCGGAGAAAAAGCAUCGGCUAACUCCGUGCCAGCAGCCGCGGUAAUACGGAGGAUGCGAGCGUUAUCCGGAUUUAUUGGGUUUAAAGGGUGCGUAGGCGGUUUUUUAAGUUAGUGGUUAAACGUCGGGGCUUCACCUUGAUUUGCCAUUAAUACUGUAAGACUCGAGUUCAGACGAGGUAGGCGGAAUAAGUUAAGUAGCGGUGAAAUGCUUAGAUAUAACUUAGAACUCCGAUAGCGAAGGCAGCUUACCAGACUGCGACUGACGCUGAAGCACGAGAGCGUGGGUAGCGAACAGGAUUAGAUACCCUAGUA
rnacentral:rRNA from 1 species